GAUGAACGCUGGCGGCGUGCCUAAUACAUGUAAGUCGAGCGAACUGAUUAGAAGCUUGCUUCUAUGACGUUAGCGGCGGACGGGUGAGUAACACGUGGGCAACCUGCCUGUAAGACUGGGAUAACUUCGGGAAACCGAAGCUAAUACCGGAUAGGAUCUUCUCCUUCAUGGGAGAUGAUUGAAAGAUGGUUUCGGCUAUCACUUACAGAUGGGCCCGCGGUGCAUUAGCUAGUUGGUGAGGUAACGGCUCACCAAGGCAACGAUGCAUAGCCGACCGGAGAGGGUGAUCGGCCACACUGGGAAUGAGACACGGCCCAGACUCCUACGGGAGGCAGCAGUAGGGAAUCUUCCGCAAUGGACGAAAGUCUGACGGAGCAACGCCGCGUGAGUGAUGAAGGCUUUCGGGUCGUAAAACUCUGUUGUUAGCGAAGAACAAGUACGAGAGUAACUGCUCGUACCUUGACGGUACCUAACCAGAAAGCCACGGCUAACUACGUGCCAGCAGCCGCCGUAAUAC
rnacentral:rRNA from 1 species